AGGGAAUAUUGGACAAUGGGGGAAACCCUGAUCCAGCAAUGCCGCGUGAGUGAUGAAGGCCUUAGGGUUGUAAAGCUCUUUUACCCGAGAUGAUAAUGACAGUAUCGGGAGAAUAAGCUCCGGCUAACUCCGUGCCAGCAGCCGCGGUAAUACGGAGGGAGCUAGCGUUGUUCGGAAUUACUGGGCGUAAAGCGCACGUAGGCGGCGAUCUAAGUCAGAGGUGAAAGCCUGGAGCUCAACUCCAGAACUGCCUUUGAGACUGGAUUGCUAGAAUCCGGGAGAGGUGAGUGGAAUUCCGAGUGUAGAGGUGAAAUUCGUAGAUAUUCGGAAGAACACCAGUGGCGAAGGCGGCUCACUGGACCGGCAUUGACGCUGAGGUGCGAAAGCGUGGGGAGCAAAC
rnacentral:rRNA from 1 species